rnacentral:misc_RNA from 1 species
UUGAUUGUUUUGUGUGGUACGUUUACUACAGGUACUUCAAGGGUUGGUUUGGGGUCCUCGCUGGCGGGCGGACCCGCCGAGGAGACGCGGAUUCGCCAAUGACAGGGGGUUCUCUUCUCAGGCGGUCGGUGGGGGACCGACGCAGCCGAAGCUCGCCGCUCGACCCCACCUACAGGCCCAUACUUUCGAGGGUUGGGCCAUCGCGAGCCAGGCCACACGAGGCGCCGCAAUGCGCGGGUCCGGCCGCUCUGGCCACCCUUUCUAAUGAUCCUUCCGCAGGUUCACCUACGGAAA